rnacentral:rRNA from 1 species
AGUCGAGGGGUAGAUGGGGCUUGCUUCAUUGAGACCGGCGCACGGGUGCGUAACGCGUAUGCAACCUACCUUCAUCAGGGGGAUAGCCCGGAGAAAUCCGGAUUAACACCGCAUAAAAUCACAGCAGGGUAUUGUGGAAUGAUCAAAUAUUUAUAGGAUGGAGAUGGGCAUGCGUGCCAUUAGCUAGUUGGCGGGGUAAGGGCCCACCAAGGCUACGAUGGCUAGGGGAUCUGAGAGGAUGGCCCCCCACACUGGUACUGAGACACGGACCAGACUCCUACGGGAGGCAGCAGUAAGGAAUAUUGGUCAAUGGGGGCAACCCUGAACCAGCCAUGCCGCGUGCAGGAAGACAGCCCUACGGGUCGUAAACUGCUUUUGCACGGGAAUAAACCCGGCCACGUGUGGCCGGCUGAACGUACCGUGAGAAUAAGGAUCGGCUAACUCCGUGCCAGCAGCCGCGGUAAUACGGAGGAUCCGAGCGUUAUCCGGAUUUAUUGGGUUUAAAGGGUGCGUAGGCGGCCUGUUAAGUCAGGGGUGAAAGACGGUAGCUCAACUAUCGCAGUGCCCUUGAUACUGACGGGCUUGAAUGGACUAGAGGUGGGCGGAAUGAGACAAGUAGCGGUGAAAUGCAUAGAUAUGUCUCAGAACACCGAUUGCGAAGGCAGCUCACUAUGGUUCUAUUGACGCUGAGGCACGAAAGCGUGGGGAUCGAACAGGAUUAGAUACCCUGGUAGUCCACGCCCUAAACGAUGAACACUCGCUGUCGGCGAUACACAGUCGGCGGCUAAGCGAAAGCGUUAAGUGUUCCACCUGGGGAGUACGGUCGCAAGAUUGAAACUCAAAGGAAUUGACGGGGGCCCGCACAAGCGGAGGAGCAUGUGGUUUAAUUCGAUGAUACGCGAGGAACCUUACCCGGGCUUGAAAGUUAGUGAAGUGCCCAGAGAUGGGCGCGUCCGCAAGGACACGAAACUAGGUGCUGCAUGGCUGUCGUCAGCUCGUGCCGUGAGGUGUUGGGUU